AGUAGGUACUUGCCUAUGCUUAGGUACUUAUUUUGUUUAAUAUUAUGUUAAUUAAUACGACGGUUUUUCAAGUGCCUACACGUUUUGUUUAUGGCGAUUGUAUUAAUAAUAUUACUCAUGGGUUUAUACUUACGCCGCAAAUACCGAAUUUUUAAUUUUAACCCCACGAGGGUACCUGCACGUACGGUUACGGUGGCGGAAAACUAGGUAACACAACUGAAAUUAAAAGUUUACGGGAUAAACAUAAUACAACUAAAGUCCAAAAUACUUGUGUGUGGCCAUUUAUAGUAGGUACCUAUACUUAAUGCCUGUGGCCAUUUGUU